GGAGAGGUGACCGAGUUGGCCGAAGGUGCGCGAUUGGAAAUCGCGUGUACCCUUAACCGGGUACCGAGGGUUCGAAUCCCUCCCUCUCCG
rnacentral:tRNA from 1 species